rnacentral:rRNA from 1 species
CGAUGGAGGGGGAUAACUGCUGGAAACGGUAGCUAAUACCGCAUAACGUCGCAAGACCAAAGAGGGGGACCUUCGGGCCUCUUGCCAUCGGAUGUGCCCAGAUGGGAUUAGCUAGUAGGUGGGGUAACGGCUCACCUAGGCGACGAUCCCUAGCUGGUCUGAGAGGAUGCCAGCCACACUGGAACUGAGACACGGUCCAG